UCCUCCGUGGCGCAAUUGGCUAGCGCGUCUGACUGUUAAGAGCAUCCGCACGGAUCGCUUGGCUAUCAGGAGGUUGACAGUUCAAGCCUGUCCGGGGGAG